rfam:Hordeum vulgare subsp. vulgare, WGS project CAJW01000000 data, contig: morex_contig_196457
AUAAAACUUCCUCCGUCCGGAAAUACUUGUCUUAGAAAUGAAUGUAUCUAGACAUACUUUAGUUUUAGAUACAUUCAUUUUUAUUCAUUUAUGCGACAAGUAAUUCUCGACGGAGGGAGUAGUUG